UGAGCAGCGAUAAACCAUUGCUCAUGAAUAAAUCGAUUCUGAGCGGAAUUUAGUUGAUAUAAUGUUGCUUUGUCAACAAUACAUACAUGUGUCAUAUUAUGGUAAAAUGACCACUUUAAAGUACCCAGUCAGAUUUUCUUUUAGAAAAAGUGUCUUUAGUGUAAACCAGAGCAAAAUUUUCGGUAGAACAGUUGCGCAAGGAU